rnacentral:rRNA from 1 species
AACGCGAAGAACCUUACCUGGGCUCGAAGCGCAGUGGACCGGGGUAGAAAUAUCCCUUCCCCUUAAAAGGCUGCUGCGGAGGUGCUGCAUGGCUGUCGUCAGCUCGUGUCGUGAGAUGUUGGGUUAAGUCCCGCAACGAGCGCAACCCUUAUUGCCAGUUGCCAUCAGGUUAUGCUGGGCACUCUGGCGAAACCGCCUCGGAUAACGGGGAGGAAGGUGGGGAUGACGUCAAGUCCUCAUGGCCUUUAUGUCCAGGGCCACACACGUGCUACAAUGGUCGGUACAAACCGUCGCAAACCUGCGAAGGGGAGCUAAUCGGAAAAAGCCGGCCUACAGUUCGGAUUGAAGUCUGCAACUCGACUUCAUGAAGCUGGAAUCGCUAGUAAUCGCGGAUCAGAACGCCGCGGUGAAUACGUUCCCGGGCCUUGUACCACACCGCAUAC